rnacentral:rRNA from 1 species
GAUGAACGCUGGCGGCGUGCCUAAUACAUGCAAGUCGAGCGAACGGACGAGAAGCUUGCUUCUCUGAUGUUAGCGGCGGACGGGUGAGUAACACGUGGAUAACCUACCUAUAAGACUGGGAUAACUUCGGGAAACCGGAGCUAAUACCGGAUAAUAUUUUGAACCGCAUGGUUCAAAAGUGAAGGACGGUCUUGCUGUCACUUAUAGAUGGAUCCGCGCUGCAUUAGCUAGUUGGUAAGGUAACGGCUUACCAAGGCAACGAUGCAUAGCCGACCUGAGAGGGUGAUCGGCCACACUGGAACUGAGACACGGUCCAGACUCCUACGGGAGGCAGCAGUAGGGAAUCUUCCGCAAUGGGCGAAAGCCUGACGGAGCAACGCCGAGUGAGUGAUGAAGGUCUUCGGAUCGUAAAACUCUGUUAUUAGGGAAGAACAUAUGUGUAAGUAACUGUGCACAUCUUGACGGUACCUAAUCAGAAAGCCACGGCUAACUACGUG